rnacentral:rRNA from 1 species
AACGAACGCUGGCGGCAGGCUUAACACAUGCAAGUCGAACGCUCGACCUUCGGGUCGGGAGUGGCAGACGGGUGAGUAACGCGUGGGAACGUACCCUUCGGUUCGGAAUAACCCAGGGAAACUUGGGCUAAUACCGGAUACGUCCUGGCCUGGAGACAGGGUGGGAGAAAGGUUUACUGCCGAAGGAUCGGCCCGCGUCGGAUUAGCUAGUUGGUGGGGUAACGGCCCACCAAGGCGACGAUCCGUAGCUGGUCUGAGAGGAUGAUCAGCCACACUGGGACUGAGACACGGCCCAGACUCCUACGGGAGGCAGCAGUGGGGAAUAUUGGACAAUGGGCGAAAGCCUGAUCCAGCCAUGCCGCGUGAGUGAAGAAGGCCUUAGGGUUGUAAAGCUCUUUCAGCGGGGACGAUAAUGACGGUACCCGCAGAAGAAGUCCCGGCUAACUCCGUGCCAGCCGCCGCCGUAAG